UACGGAGGGUGCAAGCGUUAUCCGGAUUCACUGGGUUUAAAGGGUGCGUAGGUGGGCAAGUAAGUCAGUGGUGAAAUCUCCGGGCUUAACCCGGAAACUGCCAUUGAUACUAUUUGUCUUGAAUACUGUGGAGGUCAGCGGAAUAUGUCAUGUAGCGGUGAAAUGCUUAGAUAUGACAUAGAACACCAAUUGCGAAGGCAGCUGGCUACACAAAUAAUGACACUGAGGCACGAAAGCGUGGGGAUCAAACAGG
rnacentral:rRNA from 1 species